rfam:Canis lupus familiaris chromosome X, whole genome shotgun sequence.
GCCUGGCUGGUUCAGUUGGUAGAGCACAAGACUCUCAAUCUCAGGGUUGUGAGUUCAAGCCCCACGUUGGGCA